GCUUUUAUAGUUUAAAAUAAAACUUUGACCUUGUAAGUCAAAAAUAGUGUUACUUAAAUGCU
rnacentral:tRNA from 1 species